UUUACUCAAUUAAAGUUAAUUCGUUUAAUUAUCUCUCCUAUUAAUUGUAAUUUAUCAUUUUAAUGAUACAUCUAAUUGCUGAUCGCUUAUAUCAACAUUAAAAGUGUGUUUAGAGGAAUGUUAAUCUUACAAAUGAUGAUGGAUCCAAAGUAAACAUAAAAAAGACUUAUGACUGAAGAUUGAAGAUGACGUUUUUCCCUCACUUUUUUGCUGCCCUUUUUGAAGGUUAAUAUGAUCAAACAAGGUUAAAUGAAAGGUUUGAAGUCAAGAGUCAGCUAGCCAACAAACAGCAAAAAAAACAAUAAAUACUUAUUAUAUUGUGUGAAAAGUAAACGGAUACUUAACACAAUGUAAGAUGAAAAGAAAAUAAAAAAGGAAACGAAUUACAGAUCAUCUUCAAACAUCUACAGCCACCAAGGCUAAUGGAUUUUCUUGGGUGAAACUGGCCCCGGUUGAAACUAAAAAUGAUGCCUCAUCUUUUACUCUUGCUGUUGUUUUGCUAGGAUAUGGUUUUUACGGACGAAGACAAAAAAAGAGAGGAAAAAGGAACCAUCUUUUUCUCCAAACAUUAUCUUUUACCCUGUGUGUGUAGAUGUAUUGAGUGAAUUGAGAUUGGGCUCGUAACAAGGAUAAAGGACUCAGAGAUAGCAGCUUGAUUGCUUUUUCACCUUGAUAUUUUUCCAACGACCCAUCUAUUAAAUAUAACUCUUAAAAAGCCCUCACUCUCGGCACCGGAUUUAGUUAGCAUGCAUAUCUAUCUAUAUAUUUACCAUGGUGAUGACGGAGGGAUGUACAACUAUUUAUUCUCAAGUUAAGAGGAAAAUUGACAGUUCCAAUGUAUUUUAAUGGACAUGAUACAACUGAAGCUUGGACUUUGAAUGGCGCCCAAUGUUUAAAGUUGACUGUUAAUAAGCUUUAAAUACCAACCUUCCAAGAAAGGAGUUGAUUUUAUUGGUUUAUGAUAAUUUUUCAAAUUAAUUUAACUUCCUACUAAAACCAAAAGUAGCACUAAUUAGAAUCACUAACCUGGUCUUGCUUCUCAAAUUUAAUUAAUAUUUGAUAUUUGAGCUUGUUUGAUUGAAUUUCAAAUAUCAACAAUUUUUUUUCCUUCUUUUGCUCAUCGAUUAGGGAAAUUUAAUUAUGAAAUAUAAUUUAAAUGUCUAUCCAAGUCAAUAUCUUUAGCCCAAUAAUGAAUCUAAUUAGUGAUGUUGAACCAUUUCAAGCCUCAACUCAAUUUACCUAAUGAUUACUCUCACAGUGAUUUGCAAAUUUAAAAUUCAAUCAAAAUACAUAUUUAAUGUGUACAACUCAUAAAUAUGUACACAUUUGAGUUGCUCAUUUGCCUACUGUAUGCAUAUAAUAGUCUCAUUUUCUCAUGUCUGAAUACCUUUAUUGAUGAUGUAAACCUUUUUUUUUCUACCUUUUUCAGGUUCCACCAAUUUCCAUCUAGUAUUUUCAUUCUUUCCUUCAACUAAACAAGAAAAUGGAAAACCUUUCCUGAUCUUUACUUUUUUCCUCUUCUCUUCAAACAACUCAACGCAACUCAAGUGAUCCUGAAUCAAAUGUCACAUCAAUUUGCAAACCUGAUGACAAGUAAUCAACAGUAACAACUCUAAAUCAUUAUAAUUUAGGAGAAACGCAUGUUCCAUGGAAACUUGAGGAGGUCGAUUGAUUGUGAAGGAAGUGACAAAAGAUUUACAGGGAAGAAGAAAAGAAAAGGCAAAGAAAGGAAAAGGAGGAGGAUGAUCAUGAAGAGGUGGAGAGAGGAGGAGGUUAAAUGAUUUUGUCGUUCAAUGAGAAAAGAUUAUUCGAUUGAUGAACAAUCUUGAUUUGCUUAUUUAUCCAUUAAUUUGCAUCAUCAUCAAGCUUUAUUGUUGAUCAUGGGAUGACACGAUAAUGGAGAUUGAUAAGUUUAAAAAUCAAUGAACAAAUAAUUCAAAAGUUAAACGGUUAAACAAUGGCAAAUGAACAAUCAAUGUUAAUGAUUUAAAUUACAAAACCUUCAACAUUCAUAUAUUUACACAUGAAAAUGAAUUUCAUUUCCAAUUUUCUCGUUUAUUGGAAAAUCAAAGUUGAAGUUGCCAAAUGAAACAGUUAAUUAAGUUGAAAAAAACACCAACCGAGUAGUUAAUUGUUUGCUUGUCAAUCGUUAUCCGCCCAUGAUGGAGAUGAGCAAAAAUAAGGUUAAAGAUCAGCAAAAUGUUGACUUGAGAAGCACAAAAAAUCUUGACAUUGGCUUACAGCCGUAGUUGAGCGUCAAAUUGUUGCAAUUGUUACGGAUAACAAUACAAAUGGCCAUAGAAAAGAAAAGGUAACAAGAAAAGUUGAAAAAAAUGAAUUCUCGCAAAAUGAUGAACAAAUGAAACUAAUUUUAAUCUGGCUAAUAAUCAAUCCAUCAUAAUUAAUCUGUUUAACCUUCACUUUCUUUCUCUAUUCAUAUUAUCCAAUCAAACACAAUCAAAUGGUUAAUCUUUCAAUUUGCCAACUAAUCAAUGGAAUCAUAAUUGAGGUAAAACAGGAUCAGGUACACAAGGUAAAACAUUUAAUUGUCUUUAUUAAUCAUUGUUAAACCACUACGUUUAGGGUAACCAGUAUUUAAUCAAAUGAUUAAAUUGUAUAAACUGAUGCCUUUCUGAAAUUGGUUAACUUGAUGGUUAACUAACACUGUUAACUAAAAUGCACAGUUUGCUCUAAAGACAGUGAUAAUGAGAAUGAUUAGACCUGAUAAAAAAGUCAAAAAUUAAAAUGAAAAUGAUAAGAAACCUAAAAUGAAAAUAGGAAAACCCAUUGAAAGCAAUGGAAAAUCAAGACAAAAUUGUGUCUUGAAAAUUGAAAAAAAGUGUUGAGAUUAGAUUACAUAGUGGUUUAAAUCAGUUAAACCACAAUAUCUCGAAGCUAUGAGAUAAAACUCUCGGGCUUCGCCCUCGAGUUUAUAUCUCAUAACUUCUCGAUGCAGUGGUUUAACUAUCACU